GUGCUCACUUCGGCAGCACAUAUACUAAAAUUGGAAUGCUACAGACCUUAACAUGGCCCCUUAACAGGGAUGACAUGGAAAUUCGUGAAACAUUCCAUAUUUUU
ensembl:snRNA U6 U6 spliceosomal RNA